CGACAACAUUAAAAAGUUUUUAUAUUUGGGCGGGAGGUGGCGGGAGAUGAAUUUCUGUAGCCACUAUGUAGGUCGCACAUUUUAGCUUUGGGGUCCUCGAUGCCCCAAGAUGAUAUAUCGCUAUACAGGGAGCGCCACCGAUACAACGGGGUCUCUGACACCCCGGAUGCCAUAAUGUCGGUAUGCAGAGAGAGUCGCCACUGCUUCGGGGUCUCUAACACCCCUGGAUAAUAUCAGGUCCGUAUGAAGAGGGCACAACCAGUAUAAUUUUCUUCCAGAGUAUAUUUAAUUUACUUCAUUUUUUUGUUUUGCUUAUUAAAUAAGCUCAUCGAAUGGGAAUAACAUUUA